rnacentral:lncRNA from 10 species
AGAAGGACUGGAAUCAGGAGAGUGUCUGGCAACACCAACCCUUCUUUGGGUCUGUGUUCAUUGGCCUCUUUUUUCACCUUCUCCCAACACAAACCCAGGACACAAGUGGCCAUGGACAUCAGUUGGAGGUCACUGACGCCUUUGUAGCUGCUCACUCUCAAAAGUGUGCAGUUCCUGAGGAUGUGGAGAAAGGAACCGAGCCCACAAGAUUCAUUUGACAGUGGGAUGCUUCCUGCCUAGGGACACGGACUAGGAAGAGAAGGUUCUUGUGGAGGACGUUCUAUCAGCCAUUGUUGUGGAUACCCUUCCCCACACAUUUUAGAGCUCCAAGUACAGCACAGUGAUGGCAUUUCAUGCUCCUUGGAACCUGUGAGGUGGGUGCCACAUCGUCUUCACUUUUUGGAUGUGAAAGCUGAAGCUCAGAGGUCCUGUCACCAGUCUAUGUGUCAAGGUCAUACACAUCAGUUAGUGAACAGCCAGGGUCUGCAGCCUCACUGUCCAGCUUCGGGGGGCUCCACGCGGAAACUCCCUGCAGUUCUCUGUUCUCCGCGGUAACCUCACUCGUGGAUUCCUUUAAGGCCUAUUCUUUUAUCUUCAACUAAACCAUGAAUCCCUUGAUGACAGCUUUUGUCUUGUACUUUUUUUUACAUCUGGAUAGCCACUUCACAAAAGAAUACCUGCAGGAGUCUAUCAUACGUGCACUGAUUGAGAUGGAUCAUGUGAGGAUAUGUAAAACCAGAGACUCAAAAAAUAGCAAACUGAACAUUUAGAUAAGGUAAUCAUUCUAUGGCUUAUUGGUGGUAGUUUAUAUUAAUGGUCAUUAUAAUCAUGUUGUUUCCAAGCAAAUAACACAAUAAGAAAAUAAUCCAGUAAUACCCCUAAGCUUUGUGAAUGUGUUAUGAUCAGUUUUAUGUAAGACCAUACUGUAGUAAGUUAUGGGGGGGGUUGUCCAGUCACUCUCAUGUGAGUGGUGUCAAAACACAUACUCACCCCCACCCUGAGUCGCUGCCUUGGGUCCCAUCCAGCAAUGACUGUGAGUGCCCCAACACCUGAGCACACAGAUGCUCUUAUUUCAGAACCCACCCAUGUCAGGGAAGCCCCUGUCUCCCAGAGGUCCUUUCAGUCUAGCCAGUUCUAGGGCAUGGUCCUUUCCCAGGAUGCACACUGUGGGCAUCUAGGCAUGGGGAGGGAGAGUGGCCACUAUUUGUAUGUGUGGAAUUGGCCACCUGGGAGAAACUGAGAAGGGUCUGAAAACGUCUCUCCACAUUCAGUUAUUAUGGAGCAGUAAUGCAGGCAAAACUGUCCCUGGAAUCAGUUCAUGGUAUAACCCAAGUGUCACAAAGAAAGGAUCAGGGCAGAGAAAGUGAGCUUUGUUGGAACCUGGGGUGAGUGGGAAGAGCAACUGGGAGAUGAGCGACACAGGAUAGGGCAGGGGCUAGAGCAGAGAGAGGGGGAGGGCGCUGGCCCAGGAGAGAUGACCACACCAGACUAUGUGGACCCCACCUGAGGCACAGCCCUAAGAGGAGUUGCAGCAAGGGGAGCUGGUGUCCCCAUUUCAGGAAGGCUCCCUUGACAGGUAGGGAAUGUGGACUUUCCGUAGAGUAAUGCUCUGUUCGCCACUUGUCCAAAUAGUAAUAAAUCACCAGUAAAUUCCUGGUGCUGUUUGGAAGCCUUGGACUUCAAAGCCCCAAAUUCACAAACAGGAACCUUUCAUUAACUCUGGAAAAAGAAUUUCACUUUAUUUCAAUUUGUGUAUUUGGUUAUUUAGUGGAAGCAUAUAUUGCUGACCAACAUGACAUUCCGUUUUGAAUCAAGUGCCUUUUAUUCUAGAGCCAUCAGACAUUGAAAUUAUGUGUUUAAAUGCUUGACCAGCCUUCAUCUGUACCAAAUGUUUGAACUUGCUUUUAUAAAAGAUGAGACAACUUUGUGUUUUAGUUUUUUUUUUAAAGCUGGUUUUAUUCACAAGAUACAUAAGACCAAAAAACCCCUCAGAGCUGUAACAUUUUGAUUUUCCUGGAGUUCAAAGUACUACCUUUCUCCAUUAAAUAAUUUAAAGCAUCUUUUUUGAGAGAAGGGAAUAAAAGCAAGAUCUAAUCUGGAAUUGAAUGCCUUGUGGUGUGUUGUUUUGCUGGGGCCCGUCGCCUUGUUCUGUCUUUAUUUCUCCUCUUUUCCUCCCUUCUCAGCUAUGCUUGGGUAUCCAAUGUCAGAAUUAUUUCUUUCAUCAGACCCAUGCAAAUGGAAUAAUAUUCUCUCUGCUGAAUGUCACUGUUGCUUGGACCUUUUAAAGUUAAGGUCAAACAUCCCUUUUUGUUUUUAUUAAGAAGCAUUGCAUCACACAGAGAAAAUAUUACACACUGAUCUUUAACAAGAGUACUGUAAAGCAAAUUGGGAUCGAUCUUAUUUUCAGCUGGGACAACCAUUUCCUUCAGGCUUGACCUGAGGAUCAGAUGUUUGACUCUUCUAGGAAUCAAGGUGAAGAUGGAUAAACAUGCAAGUUUGAAAGAAAGCAGGAACAAGGCAAUCCAACUUGUAUUUUCUGUAAGCUGGCGGCAGAACAUUUAACUGCCAGCUCCUGACAAGGUUUGGAAAACUCAUCAGUGGGAAAGCAGCCAAAACACUGCUCAAGCAUGGGUGGUCACCAGCAGCAAAGGAGGGAAAGCAAGCCAGAAAGAAAGAAGGAAAGAGAGAGUUUUUAUAUAAGUGCUUUCCCAUGAUGUUCUAGCUAUGUGCUUUACUAAAGCAGUGUAACUGUCACCAUCCUGCUGAAAGCUCAAAUUAAGGUGAUGCAAUGAGGAAGCAUUUCAUAUUAAUAACGGCAUUAAACAGAGACAACACAUUAUCAUCUAUGCAGGCUUGGCUGGGCUGGUGUGCACCUUACUUCCUAGUUUCAAGAAUAGAAUACUCA